rnacentral:rRNA from 2 species
GCAGUCGAACGGAGAGGCCCUUCGGGGUACUCGAGUGGCGAACGGGUGAGUAACACGUGGGUGAUCUGCCCUGCACUUUGGGAUAAGCCUGGGAAACUGGGUCUAAUACCGGAUAGGACCACGCGCUUCAUGGUGUGUGGUGGAAAGCUUUUGCGGUGUGGGAUGGGCCCGCGGCCUAUCAGCUUGUUGUCGGGGUAAUGGCCUACCAAGGCUACGACGGGUAGCCGGCCUGAGAGGGUGACCGGCCACACUGGGACUGAGAUACGGCCCACACUCCUACCGCAGGCCGCAGAGGGGAAUAUUGCACAAUGUCCGCAAGCCUCACCCUACCGACGCCGCGUGAGGGAUAACAGCCUUCGGGUUGUUACCCUCUUUCACUAAGCACCACACGACACUAACUGACCCUAUCCAUGAACCACCUGCCCACUACCCACCAGCAACCCCGAUCUCUACAGGGCCCAGCGUUGUC